rnacentral:rRNA from 1 species
AUUGAACGCUGGCGGCAGGCCUAACACAUGCAAGUCGAACGAGUGGCGGACGGGUGAGUAAUGUCUGGGAAACUGCCCGAUGGAGGGGGAUAACUACUGGAAACGGUAGCUAAUACCGCAUACCAUCGGAUGUGCCCAGAUGGGAUUAGCUUGUAGGUGAGGUAACGGCUCACCUAGGCGACGAUCCCUAGCUGUUCUGAGAGGAGGACCAGCGACACGGGAACUGAGACACGGUCGAGACUCGCACGGGAGGCAGCAGGGGGGAAUAUGGCACAAUGGGCGCAAGCCUGAGGCAGCCAUGCCGCGUGUAGGAAGAAGGCCUUCGGGUGGUAAAGUACUUGCAGCGAGGAGGCGGUACCCGCAGAAGAAUCACCGGCUAACUCCGUGCCAGCAGCCGCGGUAAUAC